CGACCGGCGCACGGGUGCGUAACGCGUAUGCAACCUACCUUUAACAGGGGGAUAACACUGAGAAAUUGGUACUAAUACCCCAUAAUAUCAUAGAAGGCAUCUUUUAUGGUUGAAAAUUCCGAUGGUUAGAGAUGGGCAUGCGUUGUAUUAGCUAGUUGGUGGGGUAACGGCUCACCAAGGCGACGAUACACAGGGGGACUGAGAGGUUAACCCCCCACACUGGUACUGAGACACGGACCAG
rnacentral:rRNA from 1 species